rnacentral:rRNA from 1 species
UGCAAGUCGAACGGUAACAGCGGGUGCUUGCACCCGGCUGACGAGUGGCGGACGGGUGAGUAACGCGUAGGAAUCUACCCAGUAGAGGGGGAUAGCCCGGGGAAACCUGGAUUAAUACCGCAUACAUCCUCAGGGAAAAAGGUGGCCAAUUCUUGAAAGCUGCCGCUAUUGGAUGAGCCUGCGCCAGAUUAGCUUGUUGGUGGAGUAAUAGCCCACCAAGGCGACGAUCUGUAGCUGGUCUGAGAGGACGAUCAGCCACAUUGGGACUGAGACACGGCCCAAACUCCUACGGGAGGCAGCAGUGGGGAAUAUUGCGCAAUGGGCGAAAGCCUGACGCAGCUAUGCCGCGUGUGUGAAGAAGGCUCUAGGGUUGUAAAGCACUUUCAGAAGUGAGGAAAGGUAUUCGGUUAAUAGCCGGGUACUUUGACGUUAGCUUCAGAAGAAGCACCGGCUAACUCCGUGCCAGCAGCCGCGGUAAUACGGAGGGUGCAAACGUUAAUCGGAAUUACUGGGCGUAAAGCGUGCGUAGGUGGCUUGGUAAGUCGGAUGUGAAAGCCCCGAGCUCAACUUGGGAAUUGCAUUCGAUACUGCUAGGCUAGAGUAUGGUAGAGGGAAGUGGAAUUUCCGGUGUAGCGGUGAAAUGCGUAGAGAUCGGAAGGAACACUAGUGGCGAAGGCGGCUUCCUGGACCAAUACUGACACUGAGGAGCGAAAGCGUGGGGAGCAAACAGGCUUAGAUACCCUGGUAGUCCACGCCGUAAACGAUGAGAACUAGCCGUUAGGAGCCCUUGAGACAUCUAGUGGCGCAGCUAACGCGAUAAGUUCUCCGCCUGGGAAGUACGGCCGCAAGGCUAAAACUCAAAUGAAUUGACGGGGGCCCGCACAAGCGGUGGAGCAUGUUGUUUAAUUCGAUGCAACGCGAAGAACCUUACCACCCCUUGACAUCCCUGGGAUUGCACAGAAAUGAGCAAGUACCUUCGGGAACUAGGUGACAGGUGCUGCAUGGCUGUCGUCAGCUCGUGUCGUGAGAUGUUGGGUUAAGUCCCGUAACGAGCGCAACCCUUGUCCUUAAUUACCAGCGGGUUAUGCCGGGAACUUUAAGGAGACCGCCAGUGAUAAACUGGAGGAAGGCGGGGACGAUGUCAAGUCAUCAUGGCCCUUACGGGGUGGGCUACAAACGUGCUACAAUGGGGAAUACAGAGGGCAGCGAGCUGGCGACAGUUAGCCAAUCCUUUAAAAUUUCUCGUAGUCCGGAUCGCAGUCUGCAACUCGACUGCGUGAAGUUGGAAUCGCUAGUAAUCGCGAAUCAGAAUGUCGCGGUGAAUACGUUCCCGGGCCUUGUACACACCGCCCGUCACGUCAUGGAAGUGGGUUGCACCAGAAGUGGUUAGCCUAAC